ACAGCUGUGAAUGAACGAUCUGUUUUUUUCUUCAGAAUGACAGAUUGAGCUUAACUUCUCCUCACAUCAGGCUUGUCAUUCCUCCGGUGGAUCCUCGUGCGACUAGAUACCUAAGAGUCUUCCACAAGAAAUGCUGGCUUACUGACUCAGCUAAUCGUAAGGAAUCCAAGCAUGGAUCUUUCGUCUCAAGAGCCAAAGCUGUUUAUUUGCCUGUGUUUACACACGCCGCGAGCCUCAGACUCCCGCCAGAAAAAGUGACCUGUCAGCAGCGCUUUGAGUCUGAGAAGGCCAGGACACAGAGGCACUGCACUAACGUCCCACUGGGCUCAAAGACAGCGUUUCCUCAGACUCAAUCUCAGCAAUCAAAACACUGACAUGGCAAACGGGAUAACAGGACAACAAGUCAGACGCUCAACACUCUUCAACAUGCCACAGAUGCUGCUAUAAGUUCCCUGCAGAGUGUCUCCAGCUUACUGCGGGCCAGAAUGGCACGACUGUGUUCGAACUGAAGCUGAUCUCUCUGCUUGACCAGAAGACCCUGUCUCUGCUGAAACUGCUCCAGCUGUUUCUUCUCAGUUCUGUGUUCGUCCACCUGCACAAAACAUGCACAGGUGUGAUACAUACAUCACCACAUACACCAAAAAAACAUUGCUCUUAGACUGUACAGUAUAUUACUUUAGGGAAAAUCUGGAUUUGGAAUGGGGAAAGCUAUCUGGCAUAUAUCGUGUUCUACUCAUCAGUUGAGAUGAAAAUUAGAGAACAACCUACACUGAAUAAAUAUAAAUAU
rnacentral:lncRNA from 1 species